GACGAACGCUGGCGGCGCGCCUAAUACAUGCAAGUCGAGCGUGAAAGGGGGGCAACCCCCGAGUAAAGCGGCGCACGGGUGAGUAACGCGUUGGUGAUCUACCCCGAAGUCUGAGAUAACCUUUGGAAACGAGGGCUAAUACCGGAUGACGCGGACAGGAGGGAUCCUGUCCGUUAAAGAUUUAUUGCUUGGGGAUGAGCCUGCGUCCUAUCAGCUAGUUGGCGGUGUAAUGGACCACCAAGGCGACGACGGGUAGCUGGUCUGAGAGGAUGAUCAGCCACACUGGGACUGAGACACGGCCCAGACUCCUACGGGUGGCUG
rnacentral:rRNA from 1 species